CGCUGCCUCAGCGGGCUCCGCGACUUAGGCGCCACAAGCGCGGCCGCCCAGCCAGGGCCGGGGGGCGGCGGCGGCCACGCUCCGGCCGGGCUCGAGCGGCUCCCGGCCCCCGCCCCGCGCCCGCCGGCGGCGCCGCCAUGGGCAAGAAGCACAAGAAGCACAAGACCGAGUGGCGCUCGUCCUACGAGGACUAUGCCGACAAGCCUUUGGAGAAGCCCCUGAAGCUGGUCCUGAAGGUCGGAGGGAGUGAGGUGACCGAGCUCUCAGGGUCCGGCCACGACUCCAGCUACUACGAUGACAGGUCAGAUCAUGAGCGAGAAAGGCACAAAGAGAAAAAGAAAAAGAAAAAGAAGAAGUCAGAGAAGGAGAAGCAUCUUGGUGACGAGGAGAGGAGGAAGCGAAAGGAGGAGAAGAAGCGGAAACGAGAGAAGGAACACUGUGAUACAGAGGGAGAGGCCGACGACUUUGACCCUGGGAGGAAGGUGGAGGUGGAGCCGCCCCCGGACCGGCCAGUGCGAGCGUGCCGGACACAGCCAGCUGAAAGUGAGAGCACGCCUAUUCAGCAACUGCUAGAGCACUUCCUCCGCCAGCUCCAGAGGAAAGAUCCUCAUGGAUUUUUUGCUUUUCCUGUCACGGAUGCAAUUGCUCCUGGGUAUUCAAUGAUAAUAAAACAUCCGAUGGAUUUUGGCACAAUGAAAGACAAAAUUGUAGCUAACGAAUAUAAGUCAGUCACGGAAUUUAAGGCGGACUUCAAGCUGAUGUGUGAUAACGCAAUGACCUACAACAGGCCGGACACCGUGUACUACAAGCUGGCCAAGAAGAUCCUCCACGCCGGCUUCAAGAUGAUGAGCAAAGAGCGGCUGUUAGCUUUGAAGCGCAGCAUGUCGUUUAUGCAGGACAUGGAUUUUUCUCAGCAGGCUGCUCUGUUGGGCAAUGAAGACCCAGCUGUUGAGGAACCUGUUCCUGAGGUUGUGCCGGUACAAGUAGAAACUGCCAAGAAAUCCAAAAAGCCGAGUAGAGAAGUCAUCAGCUGUGUGUUCGAGCCUGAGGGCAACGCCUGCAGCCUGACCGACAGCACCGCGGAGGAGCACGUGCUGGCGCUGGUGGAGCACGCGGCCGACGAGGCGCGGGACAGGAUCAACCGGUUCCUCCCAGGCGGCAAGGUGGGCUACCUGAAGCGGAGCGGGGAUGGCAGCCUGCUCUACAGCGUGGUCAACACGGCCGAGCCGGAUGCCGACGAAGAGGAGACCCACCCCGUGGACCUGAGCUCGCUGUCCAGUAAGCUGCUGCCCGGCUUCACCACGCUGGGCUUCAAAGACGAGAGAAGGAACAAAGUCACGUUCCUCUCCAGCGCCAGCUCCGCGCUGUCCACGCAGAACAACUCAGUGUUUGGCGACUUGAAGUCGGAGGAGACGGAGCUGCUGUACUCGGCCUACGGGGACGAGACGGGCGUGCAGUGUGCACUGAGCCUGCAGGAGUUUGUGAAAGACGCCGGGAGCUACAGCAAGAAAAUGGUGGACGACCUCCUGGACCAGAUCACAGGCGGAGACCACUCGCGGGUGCUCCUCCAGCUGAAGCAGAGGAGAAAUGUUCCCGCGAAACCUCCGGACGAAGUGAAGGCUGGAGACGCCCUGGGAGACGGCGGUGGCUCUGUCCUGGAUUUCGUGUCGGUGAAGCCGUAUCCUGACGUGUCCCUGGACAUGUCCCUGCUCAGCUCUCUGGGGAAGGUGAAGAAGGAGCUGGAGCACGAGGACAGCCACCUGACCUUGGACGAGACCACCAAGCUCCUGCAGGACCUGCACGAGGCGCAGGCGGAGCGGGGCGGCUCCCGGCCCUCGUCCAACCUCAGCUCCCUGUCCAACGCCUCCGAGAGGGACCAGCACCACCUGGGAAGCCCUUCCCGCCUCAGCGUCGGGGAGCAGCCGGAUGUGACCCACGAUCCCUAUGAGUUUCUUCAGUCUCCGGAACCUGCGGCCUCUGCAAAGAACUAGCAUCGUCACCCAGCCUCAGGUGUGCUGUUCCAGCCGCUCGCAGCAGCUGCCCGUGGGCCGGGACACAGAGCCUUCACAGGGUGGCACAGGGGUGGCACAUGGGGGUGCUCUCCGGAACAGCCUGGGAGAUGACGCUCCCCAAGGCCAUGGCCCCCCACGCCCGUCAGAACCGCAGCCGUGGGUGCAGCACGAGGUCAGCACUGGGGCAGGCAGGGUGGCCGCCCCUUCGGGCUCCUGUCCCCUCUGACUCUGGGCCUAGCGGGGUUUGGCAGUCACCCCACCCCCAGUGGUCUGGCUUUUGGGCCUGGCCCCCGCCCAGCAGGGGUCCCCUGGGCGCUGGGCAUUCCCCAGCCGCUGUCCCCAGGCCGCCACUGUGGGCAGAGCCGCUGCGCACUGGAGUGCAGUGCUCAGGGAACGUGCCUUGAGUGAGGGUCUGCCCGUGUCCUGUGGGACCGAGAGGGGGAUGGGGACGUUUGUAGGGCUAGGGGCCCCCAGAAGCCCGGCUGAGCUCCCGCAGUUGGGGGCUACCCCGGCCAGCUGUGACCCUGCAGGUUCGAAGGCGCUGGGGACAGGGCAGAGUUCUCCAGGACGGGGUGACCCGCAACUCGCUGACCUUGCCGACAGCUCAGGGCCCUCUCGAGCCACAGGGGGCCCAGCGGCUGCUGGGGUAGGAGUGGGGCCUCCCUGAGCUCAGCGUCUCUGUGGUCCCUGGGCCUGGCCUCGUGGUUGCAGUGUGGCUGCUGUUGUGGCAGCCCCCUCAUGUGGAGGCCAGAGGAGGGGCCACGCCUGCAUCUCCCACAGGACACAGAGCUCUCCGCGGAGGCUGCGGCAGAUGCAGCCAUGGCUCUGCCGCCCCUCCUGGCCCAGCCUGGGGGCAGCUGCGGGCCGGCCCUCUGCACCCUUGCUGGUGUUCCGGGCUGGCCACGGCAUGCUGGCCCCGGCCGUCACGUGGGCAGGGCCUGAUGACGGGACCCUGGCGGGAAGGGGGAGGCAGGCCUUGGGGCGUGAGGGCCGACAGCUCUGACCCCAGGCCAGGACCCCCGUCAGCUGGCGGGUGUGUGUGCUGUGGCUUGUGUGUCCUGCAACGUUCAGGCAUGGCAGCGUCGUGGCAGCGUCGUGGCAGCGUCAUGGCAGCGUCGUGGCAACACGCCAGCAGCGGCAGGCGGGGCCUUUACAGGGUGGUGGCCGGGAGGGCUCUGCCCUCAGGGUGGGAUUAGGGCUCAUAAAGGGGGGUUCACACGGCAUUCGCUCUGCCCUUCUGCUGUGUCCUGUGAGGACGCGGUGGCAGGUGCCACCUGGGAGCAGAGCCCAGGCCUCGCCAGCCACCAAGCCUGCAGCCUUGAGCUGGGACGUCCGGACGUCACGAAACAAAUUUCUGUUGUUUAAACUACUCAGUCUCAGGUUAUAUGGACGUCAUAAAUUACCGCAUGGACCCUGCAAAUUAUUAUGUAUGAAUAAAAACAAAAAGAAAAUAAUUUUUUUGAAAAAGAAGUGUGUGUAAAACUGGUGAAAUUUGAAUAAAUUCUGAAGAUUAUAAAAACACUCUUGGCCCGGCAGGGUGGCUCACACGUGUCAUCCCAGGUCCUCAGGAGGCUGAGGCAGGAGGGUCACUUGAGCCCUGGAGUUGGAUGGCCCAGGGGGCUUGAGGCCGAAGGACGAUGUUGGGGCCAAGUCCCACCACCUCCUGGCAGUGUCCCCAUGGGGCACAUCCUGUCCCCACCGAUGGCCUCCCUGGGAGAGGUGCUGCUAAGGAUGAGAGGGCCAGAAGGUGGGGCCAGGUGGGCCUCACAGACAGAAAACCAGCCAGGCUCACCCCAGCCUGCCCCCCACUGUCUGUCUCUGCCCGUCUGUGUCUCUUUGUCUCUCUGUCUCUUUGUCUCUCUGUCUCUUUGUCUCUCUCUG